AUGAACGCUAGCGGCAGGCUUAAUACAUGCAAGUCAAGGGGUAGCAAUACAACCGGCGCACGGGUGAGUUAACGCGUACACAACAUCGCCAUUAGUACUGGGGGUAUAGACUUUGGGAAACUGAAGGUAAUCCCCCAUAGUAUUGCGGGUAGGCAUCUAUCUGCAAUUAAAGUUUCGACGGUAUAUGAUUGGUGUGCGUUCCAUUAGCUAGUUGGUAGGGUAAUGGCCUACCAAGGCGACGAUGGUUAGCUGGUCUGAGAGGAUGAUCAGCCACACUGGAACUGAGACACGGUCCAGACUCCUACGGGAGGCAGCAGUGAGGAAUAUUGCGCAAUGGGGGCAACCCUGACGCAGCAACGCCGCGUGAGUGAGGAAGGUUUUCGGACUGUAAAGCUCUGUCGAGCGGGAAGAAAUGCCUGAUGGCUAAUAUCCAUCAUGCUUGACGGUACCGCUAGAGGAAGCACCGGCUAACUCCGUG
rnacentral:rRNA from 1 species